UACGGGGGGGGCAAGCGUUGUUCGGAAUUACGGGGCGUAAAGGGCGCGUAGGCGGCUCGCUAAGUCGGAUGUGAAAACUCUGGGCUCAACCCAGAGCCUGCAUUCGAAACUGACGAGCUCGAGUUCUGGAGGGGAAAGCGGAAUUCCUGGUGUAGCGGUGAAAUGCGUAGAUAUCAGGAGGAACACCGGUGGCGAAGGCGGCUUUCUGGACAGAAACUGACGCUGAUGCGCGAAAGCUAGGGGAGCAAACAGG
rnacentral:rRNA from 1 species